rnacentral:rRNA from 1 species
GAUGAACGCUGGCGGCAUGCCUAAUACAUGCAAGUCGAGCGAACGGACGAGAAGCUUGCUUCUCUGAUGUUAGCGGCGGACGGGUGAGUAACACGUGGAUAACCUACCUAUAAGACUGGGAUAACUUCGGGAAACCGGAGCUAAUACCGGAUGAUAUUUUGAACCGCAUGGUUCAAAAGUGAAAGACGGUCUUGCUGUCACUUAUAGAUGGAUCCGCGCUGCAUUAGCUAGUUGGUAAGGUAACGGCUUACCAAGGCAACGAUGCAUAGCCGACCUGAGAGGGUGAUCGGCCACACUGGAACUGAGACACGGUCCAGACUCCUACGGGAGGCAGCAGUAGGGAAUCUUCCGCAAUGGGCGAAAGCCUGACGGAGCAACGCCGCGUGAGUGAUGAAGGUCUUCGGAUCGUAAAACUCUGUUAUUAGGGAAGAACAUAUGUGUAAGUAACUGUGCACAUCUUGACGGAACCUAAUCAGAAAGCCACGGCUAACUACGUG